CUGAAAGGCACACGUGGUCUCAACUGUGGCACCUUGGAAACAGCCUACGAACUCAAAGCUGUCUCAUUCACCGCCAGUCAAAACACCCUGGGACAUCCUGGGGCCCAGAGUAUCCUGCAAGGCUCAUGUGUGACCUCCUGGGAAGCAGGUGGCUAUUGAGCUUGGCAGUCUCUCCCCAGGAUGCGGCAGAGGGGCUCACCUUGGUGCGCCAAGAAGAGCAGCUGAGCUGUGCUGAGUUGGGUCUGUCUCCAUCCAGUAUUUGUGGUAACCACAGGCUUCGGGAUAGUCUGCUUCUACCUGGGCACAGCUGUGGAAACUUCCUCGGGCCUUAGAUUUUGCAUCGUUAGGGAUCCGCACCCAGGCAGAUGGACUGCCUCUCCUUUGACUUCCCGCCUGUUAUGCUUGGGACUACUGCAGAAGCUUAGCCCCUUCUGAUGUUUGUGUAUGACAAUCUACAGGCCCAGUCCUUGACACUAUCUGAUCCAGAGAGCUGCCUUGUGGGGAUGCAGACCUUCUACAAACAGGCACACUAUGCACCAGGCACCCAGCACAGUCACCCUGGCGCUCCACUCUCAAAAACAAAAGAAGGAUGGAGACCCACUGGACACAUAAAAAAGACCAGAAAUACGAGAAAGAAGUAGGAGAACAACCAACCUCAUAGGGAAAAUAAAUAUUUCAGAAAGCAGAAGAUAAUUCCUCAAAAUAUUAACCAGUGUCUUCAGAGGAAUGAAGGUCUGAGGCCUAUAAUGAAAAGGAAAUAAAUAAAUAAAUAAAUAAAUAAAUAAUUGCUGUCAAAAAGGAAUCACACGGUAAAGAUAGAAGCUUAGAAAUUAAACAGGAUGAUUUAAAUCAAAAUUUUAAUUAAGCUGAGCCAGGUGGUACACACCCUUAAUCCCAACCCUCAAGAGGCAGAGACGGGUGGAUCUUUGUGAGUUUGAAGCCAGCUUGGUCUACAUAGGGAGUUUUAGGUCAGCUAGAGCUACAUAGUGAAAUAUUUUCUCAAAAAAAAAAUGGAGUGAGAGGGAGCUGGAGAGAGAUUUCUCAUUGGUUAAGACUAUUUGCUGCUCUUCACAUGCCUGAAUUUAAUUCCCAAAACCACAGGACAAUUAAUAGCUGUCUGUAACUCCAGUCCCAGGGGAGCGAACCCCUUCUUCUGGACUGUCUGAGUAGCAGGAAGGCACAUGGUGCACAGACAAAACACCCAUAUACAAAACAAAAACCUAAAAUCAUUAGAGCUGGAGAGGUGGCUUAGCAGUUAAGAGCAUAUACUCCUCUUGCCAAGGGCUCAAGUUCAAUUCCCAGCACCUGCAUCAGGAAGCUCACAACCUCCUAUAAUCCCUGCUCCUGGGGAACUAACCCUCUCCUCUGUCCUCCUUCUGUAGGUCUCAUGCACUCACGUGCAUGCCCCACUGCCACAGACACAUACACAUAGUUAGAAAGUACAUUUAUUUUUGCAAUAAAAUAAUCUUAAAAUUCAAAAUUGUCAGCCGGGCAAUGAUGGCACACACCUUUAAUCCCAGCAUUUGGGAGGCAGAAGCAGGUGGAUUUCUGAGUGUGAGGCCAGCCUGGUCUACAGAGUGAGUUCCAGGAUAACCAGGGCUACACAGCGAAACCCUGUUUUGAAAAACAAACAAACAAACAAAAAAUUCAAAACAAAAAAUUGUCAAUAAAACAAAGCCGGGAUGCAUCCUAGAGUUUAGAAUGAAAAUAGGAAGAAACUAAAAAAUGUAAGUGAAAAACACAGUCGCAAUAAGUCAACCCAGAAUGUCAGGUGCUUGAUUGUUUUGCAGCAAUAAGCACAGAAUACUCAGAAAAGAAUAUAAUCUCAGAAACAAUGGAAGAUCCUGGCAUAAGGUCUUAAAGGAUCACAAGUGUCUGUCCGAAGAGAGCUAGUGACUACCACUCUGAAUUGAUAACACAUUGUCUGUAUUUAGACAUAGCCACAUGAAAAUUGAGAAUACAAAAAUAAAAUGAAAGUUAAAAAGAUACCCAAGUUCCCAGAGAGAAGAAAUAAAAGUGAGAGCUUCUCAGAAGGCUCUAGAAGACAAUGGCACUAGACCUUUUGGGGUGUAGAAGAUAAAUUCUGUGAAUGAGUGAUUUAAAUGGUUAGAACCAAGCAUCCGGGUGGGAGCGCAUGCCUGCACUCUCAGAGGUCAGCAAGCGGGUACAGACAGAUCAUAACCUUGAAGGCCUGGGCUACACAGUGAGUUCAAGGCCAGCCUGGUUUGAAUAAUGAGACUCUGCUUCGAAAAAUAAGAAAAAAA
rnacentral:lncRNA from 1 species